GUACGGAGGGUGCAAGCGUUAAUCGGAAUUACUGGGCGUAAAGCGCGCGUAGGCGGCUCGGUCAGUCGGGGUGUGAAAUCCCUCGGGCUCAACCUGGGAACUGCAUUCGAUACUGCCGAGCUAGAGUGUGGGAGAGGGUAGUGGAAUUCCCGGUGUAGCGGUGAAAUGCGUAGAUAUCGGGAGGAACAUCGAGUGGCGAAGGCGA
rnacentral:rRNA from 1 species